GGAGAUGUCGCCUAGUUGGUCGAGGGCGCAUGAUUGGAAAUCAUGUAAACGGGAAACUGUUUCGAGAGUUCGAAUCUCUCCAUCUCCGCCA
rnacentral:tRNA from 2 species